CUUCACCGAGCCCAGCCAGAGCGGGUGGUCCGCGUCCCGGCCCGGGCCGUACGCGGCGAUCAGCGCCCGCGCCUC
rnacentral:antisense_RNA from 1 species